rnacentral:tRNA from 1 species
ACCUGGCAGAGGCAAGUAGCUCAGGUGGAAGAGCGUGAGACUCUUGACUUCAGGGUCAUUGGUUUGAGCCCCACGUUGGGCA